rnacentral:rRNA from 1 species
UACGGAGGGUGCAAGCGUUGUUCGGAUUCAUUGGGCGUAAAGGGUCCGCAGGCGGUCGGGUAAGUCGGAUGUGAAAUCCCGUGGCCUAACCACGGAAUGUCAUUCGAAACUACUCGGCUCGAGGACUGGAGAGGAGACUGGAAUGAUCGGUGUAGCGGUGAAAUGCGUAGAUAUCGAUCAGAACACCAGUAGCGAAGGCGAGUCUCUGGACAGUUCCUGACGCUCAUGGACGAAAGCCAGGGGAGCAAACGGG